rnacentral:tRNA from 1 species
CAGGGCGUAGCUCAAGCAGCGCAGAGCACCGGUCUUGGGCACCGGGGGUCGUUGGUUCAAAUCCAGCCGCCCUGA